rnacentral:rRNA from 1 species
UACGGAGGGUCCAAGCGUUAUCCGGAAUCAUUGGGUUUAAAGGGUUCGCAGGCGGUUCAUUAAGUCAGUGGUGAAAUCUCGAGGCUCAACCUCGAAACUGCCAUUGAUACUGAUAGACUUGAAUGUAGUUGGAGUAGGCGGAAUGUGUAGUGUAGCGGUGAAAUGCUUAGAUAUUACACAGAACACCGAUAGCGAAGGCAGCUUACUAAACUAUAAUUGACGCUCAUGAACGAAAGCGUGGGGAGCGAACAGG